CGAGCCCAUCCCUCUCACAUUGUCUGAUUUUUCUCGCUUCAGAUUAUUUCCAUUGUUCACUUCUCUUUUGUUCAUCUGUGAUUCGUCGUUCUUGUCUCACUGUCUCUUCUUCUUCGCAGAUUCGAUUCUCCAUCACCCAGUCUGCGGAACAAUCUGGGUUUUAGGGAUUUACAGUCACCAUGUUAGGUUCAUUGCCUAUACUGCCUCUCCCGGCUCCUCCGCUCGAUGGAAACCUCGGUCCGCUUCCCGAGUCUCAGGUGAUCGAGGAGAGACCCUCCGACGAGGAGCAGAGACCGGCUGCACCAGCAGCAACAGUUGCCACACACACUAGAACCAUUGGAAUAAUUCAUCCACCUCCGGACAUUAGAACCAUUGUUGAUAAAACCUCACAGUUUGUGGCUAAAAAUGGUCCGGAAUUCGAGAAGAGGAUUGUUGCGAAUAAUGCAGGGAAUGCCAAGUUUAAUUUCCUUCACUCGUCGGAUCCGUAUCAUGCUUAUUAUCAACAUCGCUUGGCUGAAUUUCGUGCUCAGAAUCAGUCUUCUACCCAGCAACCUGGUGACUUGGCUGGAGAUUCGGAUGUUCCUGAAUCAACCCCAUCAGCACCAGCCCCUGAUAGUAAUGGUGUAGUAGAAGCAGCAGGAGAAAAGCCUGAUAUUUCUGCCCAGUUUAGACCAGUAAGGAAAGUGCUUGACCCGCCUGAGGCUGAGCAAUACACGGUUAGGCUUCCUGAAGGAAUAACAGGGGAAGAGCUGGAUAUUAUAAAGCUUACAGCGCAGUUUGUGGCUCGAAAUGGGAAAUCUUUUUUGACGGGAUUGACUAGUAGGGAAGUUAAUAACCUUCCAUUCCAUUUCUUGAAGCCGACCCACAGCAUGUUUACAUUUUUUACUUCCCUUGCGGAUGCGUAUUCGAAGGUUUUGAUGCCUCCAAAGGGUUUGACAGAGAAGCUUAGGAAGAGUGUCCCUGACAUGACUACUGUCCUUGAAAGGUGUGUGAACAGGCUGGAAUGGGAGCGUUCGCAGGAGCAAGCUAGGCAAAAGGCUGAGGAUGAGAUCGAGCAGGAAAGGAUACAAAUGGCUAUGAUUGAUUGGCAUGAUUUUGUGGUGGUUGAAACAAUAGACUUUGCUGACGACGAGGAUGAAGAAUUACCUACUCCUAUGACCCUUGAGGAGGUGAUAAGGAGAAGCAAGGUGUCGUCAGCCAUGGAAGAAGAUAUUGUUGAGCCUGGAAAGGAAAUGGAAAUGGAUAUGGAUGAGGAAGAGGCCCAGUUAGUUGCAGAGGGCAUGAGAGCUGCUAGUUUGGAAGACAAGGAUGAUGGGAAGAAGAACGAAAUGAGGGUUACUGAAGACCCUGAACCACCAAUGAGGAUUGUGAGGAACUGGAAGAGACCAGAGGACAGAGUUCCUGCAGAAAGAGAUCCAACCAAGUUUGUUGUUUCUCCUAUCACUGGUGAGCUCAUUCCUAUUAGUGAAAUGUCAGAACAUAUACGAAUUUCUCUCAUUGAUCCUAAAUACAAAGAACAAAAAGAAAGGAUGUUUGCCAAAAUUCGAGAAACAACUCUGGCUCAGGAUGAUGAAAUCUCAAGAAACAUUGUUGGACUUGCAAGGACUCGUCCUGAUAUCUUUGGUACAACGGAGGAAGAGGUUUCCAAUGCUGUCAAGGCAGAAAUUGAGAAGAAAAAUGAUGAGCAACCUAAGCAGGUUAUAUGGGAUGGUCACACUGGAAGUAUUGGCCGUACUGCAAACCAAGCCAUGUCACAGAGUAUUGGAAGUGAGGAUCAAAAUGAUGCUUCUAACUAUGAAGGCAAGAACCUUCCUGGUCCUGCUGCACCCCCUCCAAGGCCCGGCAUGCCUUCAAUUCGUCCUCUUCCGCCACCACCUGGACUAGCAUUGAAUCUUCCUCGUGUUCCUCCCAAUGUCGUUCAGUAUCAGCACAGUGGCGGCCUUCCAAUGCCUCCUCCAAGACCACCAGCUAUGAUUCCAUCUGUCCGCCCAGCUCCCCCUCCUCCAAUGCAAAUGAAUUCUGGACAGCAGUCUGUUAUGGGUGGUCAACCACAUCCGAUGAUGCCUCCAUCAAUUUCUAUGAAUAGCCAAGGAAUGCACAUGCCUCCACCACCACCUGGAUCUCAGUUCACUCCUGUUCCACGGCCUCCUUUUGUUCCUAUGUCUCAUCCACCAUCAAUGAUGCCUAUGAUGCAUCCACCACCCUUGCCUCAAGGAAUGCCACCACCCCCACCGCCUGAGGAAGCUCUUCCCCCACUUCCAGAGGAACCAGAACCAAAGAGGCAAAAGCUUGAUGAUUCUUCUCUGAUUCCAGAAGAUCAAUUUCUGGCUCAGCAUCCGGGACCUGUUCGCAUCAGUAUAUCUGUUCCUAAUGUUGAUGAAGGAAAUCUCAAAGGACAAGUUCUGGAAAUAACCUUGCAAUCUCUGUCUGAAACUGUUGCCAGUCUGAAGGAAAAAAUUGCUGGGGAUAUCCAGCUCCCUGCUAACAAGCAGAAAUUGAGUGGAAAGCCAGGCUUUCUUAAGGAUAAUUUGUCACUUGCUCAUUACAAUGUCAGCGGAGGAGAAACACUUACCCUAUCCUUAAGAGAGCGUGGUGGUAGAAAGAGAUGAGCAUAGUACUUGCAUUGCCAUUCAUGAAGAUUUUGGCACCUUGGCGCAUGUCUCAUGAGGGGAUUGGGAAGUAGUGGAGUUUCUUUACCUAAUCUGAUCAAGUCAAACAUUCACAUCACUGAUUAUUGUUCUCUCUUGCUUAGUGACUUAUUUGUUUUUAAUUGAAUCUCCUUUGCUGUCAGGGAGGGAUCAAUCACUUUUUUGCUCAUUUUUCCCAUUCUUAAAAUUAUCAACGUGAGUGGUGAUUUAGUUUCUUUUUUCUAGUGUUUAGGUUUUGUCUUAUAUUGGAUAUGUUCUGACAAGAACACUGUCAGAUGGUUGGUUAGGAGGUCGUUUAACUGGUGCAUCUUGUUUGGGGUUUUGGUCAUGAGAGAAAUUCUACUUGGACUCGUGGGAAGGCCGGGCAGCUUAACUUGAUGUUUUUUUUGAAUUGGAUGAGGCAGGUAGAAUGGUCUACAAUAUUUUCUGCUAUUAUAAACUUAUGAUCCCUACAUCUAGAUCUGUUACUUUUUAUUCUUCAAGUUCUGUUCUGAUGGCAGUUUGUGCCUGCCAAUAUGUUGCAGAAUGGAGCAGGUAUGAUAUUUUAAAGAACGCACUGAUUCACAUGUUCAUCUUUCUUGGGACAUCUUAUUAAUCUCAGUUUAAGAUCUCUUGUCAUUGAUCUUGAUCAAGAUUAUUUAUCUUUGUUAAAUCUCAAUCUUCUUCAUUUGAUUUGAUUUCUUAGUUGAUAUUUGAUCUGUCUUUCCUUUUGAUUCAUUUGGUUGAACCUUACUUUGGAUUUCUUAAUAGAUCAGCAUGACAGAUUCAUUAGAGUCAUUUGACCCUCCACAGCUUCACUAGUAUUAUGUUCGUUUUAUUCACUAGGUUACUUAUUGUGAAAAUAGGGGACGACUACAUCGAUUGAUGAUGGUAUUGGUGUUAUCAUGGUGGUUCUUACACUCACUUAUGUGAUACCCUUUUCGAUUUCUCUACCGGGUGUUAUAGUAGCUGGGAUUUUAAGCUAUGAAACAAGUCAUUUUGGAAUUUAGCAUAUGGUAAGGAGAUAGGUAGUUUGGAUGAAGUUUGCUCAAAUUUCUGUGUCGUAGUUUUACCCGAGAAAACAAUGAAAUGCUUGUGUUUGGUUAUUUUAGAGUGUUGUAAGCCAAAGUCAAUUUCAUGGCUGUCUUAUGGAAUGGAAAUCAUAACAUGGCUAUUGUUGAUGAUAAUAGGAGAUCCAUUUUAGAUUAAUUGACGGGAAUAUUAAGCUAUUUAUGGAGGUCUGUUUGUUGAAUAAGUGUAUUUUUUAUUUUACAUAUUAUACAUGUUUGUGUCUA